rnacentral:tRNA from 1 species
CGGAGUAUAGCACAGCUUGGUAGUGCGCCUGGUUUGGGACCAGGAGGUCGUAGGUUCGAAUCCUACUACUCCGACCA